AACGAACGCUGGCGGCAGGCCUAACACAUGCAAGUCGAGCGAGAUCUUCGGAUCUAGCGGCGGACGGGUGAGUAACGCGUGGGAAUAUGCUCUUUGGUACGGAAUAGCCUCGGGAAACUGAGAGUAAUACCGUAUGUGCCCUUCGGGGGAAAGAUUUAUCGCCAAAGGAUUAGCCCGCGUUGGAUUAGGUAGUUGGUGGGGUAAUGGCCUACCAAGCCUACGAUCCAUAGCUGGUUUGAGAGGAUGAUCAGCCACACUGGGACUGAGACACGGCCCAGACUCCUACGGGAGUCAGCAGUGGGGAAUCUUAGACAAUGGGGGAAACCCUGAUCUAGCCAUGCCGCGUGAGUGAUGAAGGCCUUAGGGUUGUAAAGCUCUUUCAGCUGGGAAGAUAAUGACGGUACCAGCAGAAGAAGCCCCGGCUAACUCCGUGCCAGCCGCCGCCGCAG
rnacentral:rRNA from 1 species